rnacentral:misc_RNA from 1 species
GUGAAUCAUCGAAUUUUUGAACGCAUAUUGCACUAUCUGGGAUGCGUGAGAGUAUGCCUAUUUGAGGGUAAUUUGAAAUAAUAUAGAUUUCGUGAUUUUCUUGAGAUCGAAAGUGGGUCGGUCAAGCUUUCGUGUGUUGGUCGCCUAAAAUGCAAGACAAUCUCAUUUCUUGGGUUGCAUGAUACUUUCAGUUACCUCGUGACUUCACAAAGAAUCUGCGAUCGUGUUAAUAAUUGUGCAAUAAAUGAACGUG